rnacentral:rRNA from 1 species
AGAGUUUGAUUAUGGCUCAGGAUGAACGCUAGCUACAGGCUUAACACAUGCAAGUCGAGGGGCAGCAUGACGAUAGCUUGCUAUUGUCGGUGGCGACCGGCGCACGGGUGAGUAACGCGUAUCCAACCUUCCCCUUAGUAGGGCAUAGCCCGGUGAAAAUCGGAUUAAUACCCUAUGUUAUUCGUCGAGGACAUCUGAAGUGAAUCAAAGAUUUAUCGCUAAGGGAUGGGGAUGCGUCUGAUUAGGUAGUCGGCGGGGUAACGGCCCACCGAGCCAUCGAUCAGUAGGGGUUCUGAGAGGAAGGUCCCCCACACUGGUACUGAGACACGGACCAGACUCCUACGGGAGGCAGCAGUGAGGAAUAUUGGUCAAUGGGCGCGAGCCUGAACCAGCCAAAAGUAGCGUGCAGGAUGACGGCCCUAUGGGUUGUAAACUGCUUUUAUACGGGGAUAAAGUGAGGGACGUGUCCCUUUUUGUAGGUACCGUAUGAAUAAGGACCGGCUAAUUCCGUGCCAGCCGCGGC